ensembl:lncRNA
GUAUUACUACUAUUUCCUUUCUCUGGCAUCUGGUGACCACCUCCUGCCCACUGUUUUCCUUUCCCACAAAACCAAGGCUUGCUUCUCAACCCCUCGCUUGGCUUCCUGCAGUUUCCUGAGGUGUACCUCCCAGGCUCUCCAUUUCAGAGCUCCCAUCUCUCCUCAGUUCAGUUGUUAGGCUUUGCUCUUUCUCAAGAACUGCCACUGCUGGUUCUCCACAACUCCCUGCCUUUCUACUGCCUUCCCCUCAGCUGCGAUGGCCCCAGCUUUCACAUCCCACUCAGUGUUUUACCAAAUGAGUCAUCACUCGCAUUUUUCUGCUUGUGUCACUUACCCUUGAAAAAGCUUAGCUUGAAGUUCUCAUUGAUGAACCAUUCAGGACCAAGCCUGUUGCUCCAGAUCCCAUGCUCCAAAUGCUGCAGAAACUGACAAGAACUGUGGUACUACACUUUCAGUCAAGAGCUCCCUGAUGUGUCCAAUAUGCAAUAUGGGCUUCCCUGGUGGCUCAGUGAUAAAGAACCCGCCUGCCAAUGCAGGCGAUGUGGAUUCUAUCAUUGCAUCUGGAAGAUCCCCUGAAGAAGGAAAUGGCAACCCACUCCAGUAUUCUUGCCUGGGACAGAGGAGCCUGGCAGGCUACAAUCCUUGGCAUUCAGAUCAGUAAUCACAAAUCAAGUGACUGCUGGCAUCAUACAACUCAAGGAAACACGUAAAACAAUAUUGAAAUAUGAUGAUAAACAGCAGCUGAAUUUCAGUAUCAAGAUAAAGUCUGAAAUGCUGAAGGUAAUGGAAAACUGGAGAGCUCCUGACUCAGCCCAAGGAACUAGUGGCUACUCAGUUCAAGCUCUUUGCUGCCAUGCAGAAAUGCAGACCAAUGGAGCCAGAACUUUUUCAAGAAAAAUCAAGAAUCAGGAAUGUAUGCAAAAUAAACAU